AGAGUUUGAUCAUGGCUCAGGAUGAACGCUAGCUACAGGCUUAACACAUGCAAGUCGAGGGGCAGCAUGUUGGUUGCUUGCAACCAACGAUGGCGACCGGCGCACGGGUGAGUAACGCGUAUCCAACCUACCCUUGUCCAUCGGAUAACCCGUCGAAAGGCGGCCUAACACGAUAUGCGGUUCACAGCAGGCAUCUAACGUGAACGAAAUGUGAAGGAGAAGGAUGGGGAUGCGUCUGAUUAGCUUGUUGGCGGGUAACGCCACAAGGCUACGAUCAGUAGAGGUUCUGAGACGGAAGGUCCCCCAGAUUGGAACUGAGACACGGUCCAAACUCCGUACGGGAGCA
rnacentral:rRNA from 1 species